UACGGGGGGGGCAAGCGUUGUUCGGAAUUACUGGGCGUAAAGGGCUCGUAGGUGGCCAACUAAGUCAGACGUGAAAUCCCUCAGCUUAACUGGGGAACUGCGUCUGAUACUGGAUGGCUUGAGUUUGGGAGAGGGAUGCGGAAUUCCAGGUGUAGCGGUGAAAUGCGUAGAUAUCUGGAGGAACACCGGUGGCGAAGGCGGCAUCCUGGACCAAUUCUGACGCUGAGGAGCGAAAGCCAGGGGAGCAAAGCGGG
rnacentral:rRNA from 1 species